rnacentral:lncRNA from 1 species
GGAACGAGGGAGGGCCGCAGUCUCGGGGAACCGGAGCCCCCGCUGCGACUCCGCCGGGACAGCAGCUUCCGGCGCCCCGGCAGCCUCCUGCCCUCGGGGCACUCGCUCCCCCCGAGGUGUACUCCCCGAGGGCUGGGGGAGCGCAUUCCCUCCCGUCCUACUGAUUAAGUAAUUAUCCCUAAUGAGGGCCCAGCCCCGGAGCUUGUUAAAGGAUUUCCGCCUAGAUUUCAAAGUGAUAAUUAGCGGGGAAUAGAGAGGAAAGUGGGAGGGAGACACCCGCCGCGCCCCAGGGCCCACAGUCCGCCUUUGCCGGGCGAAGAACCUCCCCAUCCCCCUUAUACACCCUUUGACCUCCAGUGCUGCAUUUUGGUGUCUUGAUAGGGGAGGGGUCUGUCCGGUUGGAUGUUUAGGACUCUAGAGGCAGAGAUGUUUUUAUUUCGUUUUGUUUUUGAAUUGGGGUCCAGGCUGAGUUUAGGGGUUUCUGCAUCCCUCCCAGGGCAGAGAGACACUCCUGUCCUGGCAGAUGCCACAGGCUGAGUCACCGUCUACCCAGACAACUAAAAUCCAGGCAUCUUCCUCCUUUUCUCGAGGGCUCUCCAGCCCCUUCCAGAACCCAGGUGUCCCUCUGCCUCCUUUCUCCAGGGGCCUAAGUCUGGGUCCCUCUGGCAUCUGGCAUGUCUGCUUUCUGAGAGUCAAGCUUCAAUCUUGCCUUUAGCAGAGCGGGUCUCUGGUGGGAGAUUCAGUAAUAAGGGCCUUCCCAGCCCAGCCAGGGCCAGAUAGUUCAGUGACAUCAGUGUCAGGGUUGGGAUUACUGACCAUGAUAGGUUUCCAGCUUUCAGCAAAUGGGGAUGCCCAAAGGAGCAGAUAGCGAGUGACCUGUGGCCCUGCUGUUUGAUUCUGGAUGGAGUUACGUUUAGGAGCCUGGCAGCAAACUGGGGCACCUGUUCAAUUAGUGAUGAUGCCAUACUCUGGGCAUGGAGAGAGUGGAGAAGGAAAUAAAUU